AUGGCUAAUGGUACGUGGGAUGAGGCGCUAAUAACAAGUUUAUUCAAUCCAGUGGAUGCCCAUAGAAUUAUUCAGAUUCCACUACACUUGCAUGGUUUUGAUGACUUUGUGGCAUGGCACCCGAACAGGAUAGGUAUUUUCUCAGAAAAGAGUGCAUAUCAUAUGCAGUGGAUGCAUAGUUUUCGGGCGCAUGCAAAUACGAUGGGACACCCUGGUGGCUCUACCACUCGGGCAGUGUGGAAUACUCUCUGGAAACUUCAAAUUCCACUUAAAGUACAGAUUUUUUGUUGGCGAGCACUGCGAGGAGUUAUCCCACUAAGAGCUAUACUUACUAACAGGCACAUUGGUUCCAAUGGUGCUUGUCCUAUCUGUCAUCAAGGGGCCGAGGAUAUCCAUCAUUUAAUGUUUUUAUGCUCAAAUGCACGACACUUGUGGACGAAGCUCGGCAUCACAAAUAUCAUCAACCAAGCGAUCUAGGUUGAUAGAUUGGGGUCUGCGAUCUUGGAAUUUAUCUUAUCAUUGCCGGACCAGCAGCUUGAGAUGCACCCAAUAAUUAACUUCAAACAAAUAAUAGCCGUUGGGGGCUGGUACCUUUGGUGGAUCCGUAAAACAGUGAUGCACAAUGAAUCAAUUCCUCCCCCUUGGAGGUGGAACUCUCUGUGUUAUCAAUCUCAAGCAACCAUCAGAGGGCUACAUCGCUGGUGA
rnacentral:rRNA from 1 species